rnacentral:rRNA from 1 species
AGUGGCGGACGGGUGAGUAACGCGUGAGCAAUCUACCUUCCAGUGCGGAAUAACAACCGGAAACAGUUGCUAAUACCGCAUGAAACGACAGUAUCGCAUGAUACAAUCGUCAAAGGCUUGCUGCUGGAAGAUGAGCUUGCGUCUGAUUAGACAGUUGGUGAGGUAGCGGCUCACCAAAUCAACGAUCAGUAGCUGGUCUGAGAGGACGACCAGCCACAUUGGGACUGAGACACGGCCCAAACUCCUACGGGAGGCAGCAGUGGGGAAUUUUGGACAAUGGGGGCAACCCUGAUCCAGCCAUGCCGCGUGCAGGAAGAAGGCCUUCGGGUUGUAAACUGCUUUUGUUAGGAACGAAAAGGUAUUGACGAAUACUUGUUACUGAUGACGGUACCUAAAGAAUAAGCACCGGCUAACUACGUGCCAGCAGCCGCGGUAAUACGUAGGGUGCAAGCGUUAAUCGGAAUUACUGGGCGUAAAGCGUGCGCAGGCGGUUUGAUAAGACAGGUGUGAAAUCCCCGAGCUCAACUUGGGAAUAGCACUUGUGACUGUCAGACUAGAGUAUGUCAGAGGGGGGUGGAAUUCCAAGUGUAGCAGUGAAAUGCGUAGAUAUUUGGAAGAACACCGAUGGCGAAGGCGGGUUCCUGGACAUUCACUGACGCUGAGGUACGAAGGCCGGGGUAGCGAAAGGGAUUAGAUACCCCUGUAGUCCCGGCAGUAAACGGUGCAUGCUUGGUGUGCGGGGAAUCGACCCCCUGCGUGCCGGAGUUAACACGUUAAGCAUGCCGCCUGGGGAGUACGGUCGCAAGAUUAAAACUCAAAGAAAUUGACGGGGACCCGCACAAGCGGUGGAGUAUGUGGCUUAAUUCGAUGCAACGCGAAGAACCUUACCAAGGCUUGACAUCCUGUGACCGCUCAUGAAAGUGAGUUUUUUCUUAGGCAACACAGAGACAGGUGCUGCAUGGCCGUCGUCAGCUCGUGUCGUGAGAUGUUUGGUUAAGUCCAGCAACGAGCGCAACCCCUGCUGCCAGUUACCAGCGAUUCGGUCGGGGACUCUGGCGGGACUGCCCAGAUCAACUGGGAGGAAGGUGGGGACGACGUCAGGUCAGUGUGGCCCUUAUGCCUUGGGCUGCACACGUACUACAAUGCCCAGCACAGAGGGAAGCCAACCCGCGAGGGUGAGCGGAUCCGCAAAGUUGGGCCCAGUUCGGAUUGGAGGCUGCAACCCGCCUCCAUGAAGCCGGAAUCGCUAGUAAUGGCGCAUCAGCUACGGCGCCGUGAAUACGUUCCCGGGUCUUGCACUCACCGCCCGUCA